CCGCCAAUCGUCUAGAGGCCUAGGACAUCGCCCUUUCACGGCGAAAACAGGGGUUCGAAUCCCCUUGGGCGCGCCA
rnacentral:tRNA from 1 species